AUUGAACGCUGGCGGCGGGCUUAACACAUGCAAGUCGAGCGGGGUGAUGGUGCUUGCACUAUCACUUAGCGGCGGACGGGUGAGUAAUGCUUAGGAAUCUGCCUAUUAGUGGGGGACAACAUCUCGAAAGGGAUGCUAAUACCGCAUACGUCCUACGGGAGAAAGCAGGGGAUCACUUGUGACCUUGCGCUAAUAGAUGAGCCUAAGUCGGAUUAGCUAGUUGGUGGGGUAAAGGCCUACCAAGGCGACGAUCUGUAGCGGGUCUGAGAGGAUGAUCCGCCACACUGGGACUGAGACACGGCCCAGACUCCUACGGGAGGCAGCAGUGGGGAAUAUUGGACAAUGGGGGAACCCUGAUCCAGCCAUGCCGCGUGUGUGAAGAAGGCCUUAUGGUUGUAAAGCACUUUAAGCGAGGAGGAGGCUCUUUUGGUUAAUACCCAAGAUGAGUGGACGUUACUCGCAGAAUAAGCACCGGCUAACUCUGUGCCAGCAGCCGCCGUAA
rnacentral:rRNA from 1 species